GAUGAAGAACGUAGCGAAAUGCGAUAAGUAAUGUGAAUUGCAGAAUUCAGUGAAUCAUCGAAUCUUUGAACGCACAUUGCGCCCGGUAGUAUUCUGCCGGGCAUGCCUGUUCGAGCGUCAUUUCAACCAUCAAGCCCCAGCGCUUGUGUUGGGGGCCUGCGGCUGCCGCAGCCCCCUAAAAGCAGUGGCGCGCUCGCUAUCACACCGAGUGCAGUAGUUCAUCUUCUCUCCGGUCUUGUGAGGCGGGUUCCGGCCGUGAAACACCCCACUACAUUCAAGGUUGACCUCGGAUCAGGUAGGAAUACCCGCUGAACUUAAGCAUAUCAAUAAGCGGAGGA
rnacentral:misc_RNA from 1 species